CAGUCGCCACGGGAAUACGUAGGGUGCGAGCGUUAAUCGGAAUUACUGAGCGUAAAGCGUGCGCAGGCGGUUCGUUAAGACAGAUGUGUAAUCCCCGGGCUUAACCUGGGAACUGCAUUUGUGACUGGCGAGCUAGAGUAUGGCAGAGGGGGGUAGAAUUCCACGUGUAGCAGUGAAAUGCGUAGAGAUGUGGAGGAAUACCGAUGGCGAAGGCAGCCCCCUGGGCCAAUACUGACGCUCAUGCACGAAAGCGUGGGGAGCAAACGGGAUUAGAUACCCCUGUAGUCCCUGUCUCUUAUAC
rnacentral:rRNA from 1 species